rnacentral:rRNA from 1 species
GAGUUUGAUCCUGGCUCAGGACGAACGCUGGCGGCGUGCUUAACACAUGCAAGUCGAACGAUGAGCCAGGGCUUGCCCUGGGGAUUAGUGGCGAACGGGUGAGUAACACGUGGGCAACCUGCCCCUGACACUGGAAUAACUCCGGGAAACCGGGGCUAAUACCGGAUAUGAACCUCGUUGGCAUCUUCGAGGUUGGAAAGUUUUUCGGUCAGGGAUGGGCCCGCGGCCUAUCAGCUUGUUGGUGGGGUAAUGGCCUACCAAGGCGACGACGGGUAGCCGGCCUGAGAGGGCGACCGGCCACACUGGAACUGAGACACGGCCCAGACUCCUACGGGAGGCAGCAGUGGGGAAUAUUGCGCAAUGGGCGAAAGCCUGACCCAGCAACGCCGCGUGUGCGAUGAAGGCCUUCGGGUCGUAAAGCACUUUUCUGAGGGAUGAGCAAGGACAGUACCUCAGGAAUAAGUCUCGGCUAACUACGUGCCAGCAGCCGCGGUAAAACGUAGGAGACUAGCGUUAUCCGGAUUUACUGGGCGUAAAGCGUGUGCAGGCGGUUCGGCAAGUUGGAUGUGAAAUCUCCCGGCUCAACUGGGAGGGGUCGUUCAAUACUACCGAACUUGAGGGCAUCAGAGGAAGGUGGAAUUCCGGGUGUAGUGGUGAAAUGCGUAGAUAUCCGGAGGAACACCAGUGGCGAGGGCGGCCUUCUGGGAUGAUCCUGACGCUCAGACACGAAAGCUAGGGGAGCGAACGGGAUUAGAGACCCCGGUAGUCCUAGCUGUAAACGAUGUAGACUUGGCGUCGGAGGGUUCAAAACCUUCGGUGUCGUAGCUAACGCGAUAAGUCUACCGCCUGGGGACUACGGCCGCAAGGUUAAAACUCAAAGGAAUUGACGGGGGCCCGCACAAGCAGCGGAGCGUGUGGUUUAAUUCGAUGUUACACGAAGAACCUUACCCGGGUUUGACAUGUGAGUGGUAGGGAUCCGAAAGGUGACCGACCCGCAAGGGAGCUUUCACAGGUGCUGCAUGGCUGUCGUCAGCUCGUGUCGUGAGAUGUUCGGUUAAGUCCGCUAACGAGCGCAACCCUCGCUACGUGUUACAUGUGUCGCGUGGGACCGCCGGUAUCAAGCCGGAGGAAGGUGGGGAUGACGUCAAGUCAGCACGGCCUUUAUAUCCGGGGCUACACACACGCUACAAUGGUCGGUACAAUGGGUCGCUAAGCCGCGAGGUGGAGCCAAUCCCCAAAGCCGGCCUCAGUUCAGAUCACAGGCUGCAACUCGCCUGUGUGAAGUCGGAGUUGCUAGUAAACACGCGUCAGCUAUAGUGCGUUGAAUACGUUCUCGGGCCUUGCACACAC